GACGAACGCUGGCGGCGUGCUUAACACAUGCAAGUCGAACGGAAAGGCCCUGCUUUUGUGGGGUGCUCGAGUGGCGAACGGGUGAGUAACACGUGAGUAACCUGCCCUUGACUUUGGGAUAACUUCAGGAAACUGGGGCUAAUACCGGAUAGGAGCUCCUGCUGCAUGGUGGGGGUUGGAAAGUUUCGGCGGUUGGGGAUGGACUCGCGGCCUAUCAGCUUGUUGGUGGGGUAGUGGCUUACCAAGGCUUUGACGGGUAGCCGGCCUGAGAGGGUGACCGGCCACAUUGGGACUGAGAUACGGCCCAGACUCCUACGGGAGGCAGCAGUGGGGAAUAUUGCACAAUGGGCGGAAGCCUGAUGCAGCAACGCAGCGUGCGGGAUGACGGCCUUCGGGUUGUAAACCGCUUUCGCCUGUGACGAAGCGUGAGUGACGGUAAUGGGUAAAGAAGCACCGGCUAACUACGUG
rnacentral:rRNA from 1 species